rnacentral:lncRNA from 1 species
CCCAACUGUGAGUGGCAGUUGGGUCUUGUGACUAGCACUUCCUUCCUGCCAGGUGGUCUUGCUUCCUGGUGGUGGAGGAGAGAGGAGCUUGUUCAUCCCAGUCUGGUGUGGUCUGCCGCCUCUUCUUGGUUCAGCCCGAAGAUUCAGACCCAUUCAUCUCUGAAGAAAGUGACUCACAAGGACCCCCAGCCAGUGUGCUCAAGAGAAGUGGCAGCAGACUUGGCAAGGAUCCCCAGGCAGUGUCUGGUCAAAAGUGGGAGACAACAGUGGCAGUGGCAGCAGCAGCAACAGCAAUAGCAGUGGCAGGAGGAAGAGAAGGAACAAUGAGGAGGUCAGUCAAAGUAGAGAGAAUUAUAGCAGCAUAGUAUAUGGCACCUUCAUACCACCAUCCAACACAGUGGAAGGAGAAUUUGUCUCAGAAAAUCAAGGAGGCUAUCAAUAAAAGAUAUAAUGCUGAGAGUCCUGGGAAUUCAUUUAUUCAGCAGAAUCAUAAACCACCUGCAGAUGAAAGUUCAUCAAAGCAACUCAAUUCUUCAACACAGCAAUGGAGAAGACAUCAACAGAAGAAAUCCUAGUCUGUCAUCUAGAGAACUCUUAGGUGGACAGACUUGACCUCAGUCUGUAUCAGAGCCCAGUCUUCCAGAGGCCAGGAGUCACACAGGACAAGGACCAGUUUCUUCCAAAAUGCCAGGAGGUGACUGUUGUCCUCCCAUAACAAGCAUGCCUAUCCAAUCAAAAGGUGAGGUUGAUAUGAACCAAAAUGAAUUUUCAAACAGAAAAAGGGGUAUCAUUUAUAUCAAAUUCAAAUAUAAACAUAAAUCACAGUACUGGCAAUUUGUACCCAUUAUUCCCUUCUACCCUUUGAGG